rnacentral:sRNA from 1 species
CCCGGCAGCGGGCGAUCGGGGGUCAGGUGCCUCCACAGUCAGCAUGGCAGCGCUGCGCUACGCGGGCCUGGAUGACACGGACAGUGAGGACGAGCUGCCUCCGGGCUGGGAGGAGAGAACCACCAAGGACGGCUGGGUUUACUACGCCAAUCACACCGAGGAGAAGACUCAGUGGGAACAUCCAAAAACUGGAAAAAGAAAACGAGUGGCAGGAGAUUUGCCAUACGGAUGGGAACAAGAAACUGAUGAGAACGGACAAGUGUUUUUUGUUGAUGCGGAAAAGAAAAUGCUGACAUAUGCUGCCUUCUCUCUCUGCUUCGGCUACCUAAAAGGGAAGGGCCCUUUAUCCUGUAAUCACGUGACUUGCUUCACCUUGUCAAUCACUUAGAAGAUUCACCCUCCUUACCCUGCCCCCUUGUCUCGUAUGCGAUAAAUAUCAUCGCGCC